rnacentral:misc_RNA from 1 species
CCAAUAGCGUAUAUUAAAGUUGUUGCAGUUAAAAAGCUCGUAGUUGAACUUCGGGGUUCACCCAUUGGUCAGGCUUAAUUGUCUGCACUGGUGAGAUGAAUCUCUACCUUCUGAGGAACUUUCAUGUCAUUAAUUUGGUGUGAUUGGAAAUCAGGACUGUUACUUUGAAAAAAUUAGAGUGUUUAAAGCAGGCUAACGUCUGAAUACAUUAGCAUGGAAUAAUGAAAUAGGACGGACUGAUUCUAUUUCGUUGGUUUCUAGGAUCACCGUAAUGAUUAAUAGGGAUAGUUGGGGGCAUUAGUAUUCAAUUGUCAGAGGUGAAAUUCUUGGAUUUAUUGAAGACUAACUACUGCGAAAGCAUUUGCCAAGGAUGUUUUCAUUAAUCAAGAACGAAAGUUAGGGGAUCGAAGACGAUCAGAUACCGUCGUAGUCUUAACCAUAAACUAUGCCGACUAGGGAUCGGACGAAGUUAAUUUUAUAAUGACGCGUUCGGCACCUUACG